rnacentral:lncRNA from 1 species
GGAAUUCUUCUGACCAACUUAUCAACGAACAUUAAAAAAAUAUGAAUAUAUAGAUAAGUGUCUAAAAAAAGGCUAAGGCUGUGAGCAUUGAUGGUUGAAAAUCGAGGGUCGGGCGACGACAACUAUGAAAGUGAUAGAGUAUGAGAGUCAUCAGUGCGUGAUGUCACCGACUUGAACCUCGACUAAGGAGCGUGCGAGUGUGUCUGCAAGUGUUUAAGAAAGCACACAAGUGUUGGAGAAUAUUAAAAAUAAU